GCAGCUCCUGUUACGGUCACCGACUUCAGGUACCCCAGACUUCCAUGGCUUGACGGGCGGUGUGUACAAGGCCCGGGAACGUAUUCACCGCGCCAUGGCUGAUGCGCGAUUACUAGCGAUUCCAGCUUCAUAGAGUCGAGUUGCAGACUCCAAUCCGAACUGAGACCGGCUUUCGAGAUUUGCAUCACAUCGCUGUGUAGCUGCCCUCUGUACCGGCCAUUGUAUUACGUGUGUGGCCCAAGACGUAAGGGCCGUGAUGAUUUGACGUCAUCCCCACCUUCCUCUCUACUUGCGUAGGCAGUCUCACUAGAGUCCCCAACUGAAUGAUGGCAACUAGUGACAGGGGUUGCGCUCGUUGCAGGACUUAACCUAACACCUCACGGCACGAGCUGACGACAACCAUGCAGCACCUUGAAAAUUGCCCGAAGGAGGAUCUAUUUCUAAAUCUGUCAAUUCCCAUUUAAGUCUUGGUAAGGUUCCUCGCGUAUCAUCGAAUUAAACCACAUAAUCCACCGCUUGUGCGGGCCCCCGUCAAUUCCUUUGAGUUUCAUUCUUGCGAACGUACUCCCCAGGUGGCUAACUUAUCACUUUCGCUUAGUCUCUGAAUCCGAAGAC
rnacentral:rRNA from 1 species